rnacentral:misc_RNA from 1 species
GGCAGCCUUGUCUCAUUUCAAAUGUCCGUAACUACAUUGCUAACAGUUCUCUUCUUAUAGUGUCUGAAGUCUGAACUGACUUCUGAUGCGAAAGUUAAAUGGUUUACCAAAUUGGAAGAUUAGAUAACCAGAAAGGCAUGUUUACAUAGUUCUGACUCAGAAUUCAAAGGACUGGUUUUGUUUGGUUCUAAGCCAUUCCAAAAGUAUGCCAACAGAUACUGAUCAUAACGUCCAUACAAAAAACAGACUUCUUAAUACAAGGUAAAACAAAAUUAAGCAAACAUUUUUAGCUUAUAAAGAAUAA